rnacentral:lncRNA from 1 species
GCAUCACGGUUGAUGAAACCAACUCCACCACACUGACCUUUGUUCUUCAUGCUCCCAUCAAAGUUGAUUUUGAAGAAGUUUGGGAUGGAGGCUCCCAUGACAAGGGAACUACAUGAAGCAGAACCCACAGGUGUCAGGUCCAAUAUUUCUAUAGCUAUGAAAGAUCCCUCCAAAUUUCUAGCUCAUAUGAAGCCUAAGGCAUCAUUUGUAGCUCUCAUCAUUGUUACCAUCAAGCUCUCCUUAGCAUUUUCAAAGAGCCUCAUGUUUCUUGCCAUCUAGUUGUAAUAAGAACAUGGUAUAGAGCAACAAGCAAACCCUAUUACCUCACCUCGUAGUCUCUCCCUUUAAUGUGUUGAAGGAAAGUCUCAAGGCUCCAUAGAUGGUUACUAAUAGAAAACCAAUUAAAUGUCUGCCUCAAAAUCAAUGUACUCUUAGGUACUCAAAUAGCACAUGGCUAGUCAUUUUUUAAAGUCCC